CGAACUCUGGUAUUGAUUGGUGCUUGCAUCAUGAUUUACAUUUGAGUGAGUGGCGAACUGGUGAGUAACACGUGGGAAACCUGCCCAGAAGCGGGGGAUAACACCUGGAAACAGAUGCUAAUACCGCAUAACAACUUGGACCGCAUGGUCCGAGUUUGAAAGAUGGCUUCGGCUAUCACUUUUGGAUGGUCCCGCGGCGUAUUAGCUAGAUGGUGGGGUAACGGCUCACCAUGGCAAUGAUACGUAGCCGACCUGAGAGGGUAAUCGGCCACAUUGGGACUGAGACACGGCCCAAACUCCUACGGGAGGCAGCAGUAGGGAAUCUUCCACAAUGGACGAAAGUCUGAUGGAGCAACGCCGCGUGAGUGAAGAAGGGUUUCGGCUCGUAAAACUCUGUUGUUAAAGAAGAACAUAUCUGAGAGUAACUGUUCAGGUAUUGACGGUAUUUAACCAGAAAGCCACGGCUAACUACGUGCCAGCAGCCGCGGUAAUACGUAGGUGGCAAGCGUUGUCCGGAUUUAUUGGGCGUAAAGCGAGCGCAGGCGGUUUUUUAAGUCUGAUGUGAAAGCCUUCGGCUCAACCGAAGAAGUGCAUCGGAAACUGGGAAACUUGAGUGCAGAAGAGGACAGUGGAACUCCAUGUGUAGCGGUGAAAUGCGUAGAUAUAUGGAAGAACACCAGUGGCGAAAGCGGCUGUCUGGUCUGUAACUGACGCUGAGGCUCGAAAGUAUGGGUAGCAACAGGAUUAGAUACCCUGGUAGUCCAUACCGUAACGAUGAUGCUAGUGUUGGAGGUUUCGCCCUCAGUGCUGCAGCUACGCAUAAGCAUCGCCUGGGGAGUACGCCGCAAGGCUGAACUCAAAGGAAUU
rnacentral:rRNA from 2 species